rnacentral:ncRNA from 1 species
AUAAAGGCGAUAAGCAGGAGAGUAAACUAGUAAUUUAUGUAUAGAGAUAGGGUGCCAUUGGCUGAGAGCAUCUUUAAAUGGAGCUAGUUGAAAUGCACCUGUAAGCUUUAUGCCUGAACAAUUAGUAGGGGAUAACGAGUGGUAACCGUUAAUUUACCAUUAAGUGAGUCAGAGUAUUCUUCUGAUUAAACAGAGUGGGACCGCGAACCUUUCGCCUCUGUA